AUUGAACGCUGGCGGCAGGCCUAACACAUGCAAGUCGAAUGGUAACAGGAAACAGCUUGCUGUUUCGCUGACGAGUGGCGGACGGGUGAGUAAUGUCUGGGAAACUGCCUGAUGGAGGGGGAUAACUACUGGAAACGGUAGCUAAUACCGCAUAACGUCGCAAGACCAAAGAGGGGGACCUUCGGGCCUCUUGCCAUCAGAUGUGCCCAGAUGGGAUUAGCUAGUAGGUGGGGUAACGGCUCACCUAGGCGACGAUCCCUAGCUGGUCUGAGAGGAUGACCAGCCACACUGGACCGGAGAAACGGCCCAGACUCCUACGGGAGGAAGAAGUGGGGAAUAUUGCACAAUGGGGGCAAGCCUGAUGAAGCAAGGCCGCGUGUAUGAAGAAGGCCUUCGGGUUGUAAAUUACUUUCAGCGGGGAGAAAGGGAGUAAAGUUAAUCCCUUUGCUCAUUGACGUACCCGCAGAAGAAGCACCGGCUAACUCCGUG
rnacentral:rRNA from 1 species